ensembl:lncRNA
GUGUGUGUGUGAGAGAGAGAGAGAAAUAACAGAGAUAAUAAUAAAAUUAAAGGUCAAUAAGUCAUUCUACCUGAAUAGUUCUUUUCAUAUGCUUUGAAAAUGCAGUGUAAUGUUUAUAGGAGGUAAAACUUCUUUUUCAUCUUAACAUAAAAGAAGUUUUCUUUCAUUCUUAAAAAAAAAAAGUUUAUCUGCUACUUAUGAAUUAAGGAAGCAUGGGAAAGAUAUUUAUUUUGAGCUCAUAAAAAAUUGGUUCAACCUUUACUCAGACAUCUUCAAACGAUUAUUUUUAGAACUGAAAGUACAUAUAAUGAAAAAUGCAAUCACUUCUAAAUCAGAAAUAAUUUAUUUUUUGAAGUAAAAAUUUCUUUAUGUUGGUCAAAUACUUACUGUGGAAUUCAAUGUCCUUUUCCUCAUUAAUUUGGGCCCACCCCAAAUUGUGACUCUGAAAGAUGUCAUUAAUAAGAUGUGUUCACAUGCUUCUAAAGGCAAGCUAAAUGGAUUCCAGAGGACCAUGAAGUUAAGGAUGUAGAGAGUGUAUUCAGGCCUGGCGGGCUGCGAUUCAUGGGGUCACAGUCAGACACGACUGAGUGACUGAACUGAACUGAAGAUAACUAGGAGCUCAAGGUCCAAAGAUCUGUUUCACAUUUACUGAGGACACAUGCUGCCCUAUCUAUACAGUUUUGAUCUCAUGAUGUCAUGUGUGUGUGCUAAGUCACUUCAGUUGUGUCUGACUCUGCAACCCUAUGGACUGUAGCCUGUCAGGCUCCUCUGUCCAUUAAAUUCUCCAGGCAAGAAUAUUGAAGUGGUUGCCAUGCCCUCCUCCAGGGUAUCUUCCCAACCCAGGGAUCAAACUUACAUCUCCUGCAUCUCCUGCACUGGCAGGCAGUUUCUUUACCACUAGCACCACCUGGGAAGCCCCCAUGAUGUCAUGAGUAUAACUAACUAGAGAAGGGAAGUACUAAAGAUAUGGGCACUAAAAAUGAAACACUUUAGAAUAGAUUAUCUUUUAUGGAUGCAAAGGGAGUUGAAAGGCCUAUGCAGAAGAAAGAAAUAUACAAUAUUUCUUGAAUAGCCUGUACCAGAACAGAACUUAUCAAGCAGCAUUGCCAUAGUGCCCAGUUGUUCCACAGGAAACUCAUAUAUCCUUGCCAUGGAAGAAAUUAGAAUCAUUUACAUACUCAUUUCUUUCCAUUUUCUCCUGCUCAGAGAGGCACAAGGUAAGGUUCCAUAUCAAGAAAUUCACUAAGAAAAAUUCCAACUGGGGAAAAAUUGUCUGCUUAUUUUGGGUACCCCAAUCUUUGGAAGUGAUUCUCUUGGAACUCACUCCAUUGGAUUCAGGUAGGAGAGACAAUAGCUUUCUCCAAGAAUGCUAUACUGCACAGAAGACUAAGGAUACCCCAUUUUUUCCUCAGUCCUCUUCUUACAGUGACUGUGGAAGUUUGUUUUGUACUGAUGGCUCUUAGGAAGCCAUUCAUGGAGAUAAAUGUCCAGUAUUUAGAGCAUUUGUCUUCAGCAUUGGGUAUUGGCCAUCACUUGAGGACAAGAGAAAAAAUGUCUGAUAUCUUUCACACUACAUGGAAACUAAGCAGGUAAUAUAUCAGAUAUUACAAAGUAAAAGUUCAGUGAGGGUCAAACAGCCUUGUGCUAUUCUGUGCUUAGUUGCUCAGUCGUGUCUGACUGUUUGUAAUCCCAUGGACUGUAGCCCGCCAGGCUCCUCUGUCCAUGGGGAUUCAUCAGGCAAGAAUGUUGCCAUGCCCUCCUCCAGGCAAACAGACUUGGUUAUAAGCUAAAAAUGUGAAGAAGUGGGUGAGAGUAGCCAUAGGUGCUUCAUUAUACUAACUAUACACUCUUGGGUACACUACAGCUAUCUGUUGACAAAGAGUUCACAUGUCUUCCCAAUUUUCUCUUUUAUAG